rnacentral:rRNA from 1 species
GAAGGUGUACUGUGAGGUAUGCUGGAGGUAUCAGAAGUGCGAAUGCUGACAUAAGUAACGAUAAAGCGGGUGAAAAGCCCGCUCGCCGGAAGACCAAGGGUUCCUGUCCAACGUUAAUCGGGGCAGGGUGAGUCGACCCCUAAGGCGAGGCCGAAAGGCGUAGUCGAUGGGAAACAGGUUAAUAUUCCUGUACUUGGUGUUACUGCGAAGGGGGGACGGAGAAGGCUAUGUUGGCCGGGCGACGGUUGUCCCGGUUUAAGCGUGUAGGCUGGUUUUCCAGGCAAAUCCGGAAAAUCAAGGCUGAGGCGUGAUGACGAGGCACUACGGUGCUGAAGCAACAAAUGCCCUGCUUCCAGGAAAAGCCUCUAAGCAUCAGGUAACAUCAAAUCGUACCCCAAACCGACACAGGUGGUCAGGUAGAGAAUACCAAGGCGCUUGAGAGAACUCGGGUGAAGGAACUAGGCAAAAUGGUGCCGUAACUUCGGGAGAAGGCACGCUGAUAUGUAGGUGAAGUCCCUCGCGGAUGGAGCUGAAAUCAGUCGAAGAUACCAGCUGGCUGCAACUGUUUAUUAAAAACACAGCACUGUGCAAACACGAAAGUGGACGUAUACGGUGUGACGCCUGCCCGGUGCCGGAAGGUUAAUUGAUGGGGUUAGCGGUAACGCGAAGCUCUUGAUCGAAGCCCCGGUAAAC